GGACUCCAGAAGUCUCGCCCAGAAGAUCGUUGCGACCUACCGCCUGUGCUCGGAACAACUGUCCUCUCAGCAUCACUAUGACUACGGCAUGCGCGCUGUCAAGUCUGUGCUUACUGCCGCAGGAAACCUGAAGCUCAAGUAUCCAGAGGAGAAUGAAAGUGUCCUGCUGCUCCGGGCAUUGCUUGAUGUCAACCUGGCCAAGUUCUUAGCGCAGGAUGUCCCUCUGUUUCAGGGAAUUAUAUCCGAUUUAUUUCCUGGAGUUGUUCUUCCAAAGCCAGACUAUGAAGUUUUUCUGAAAGUGCUGAAUGAUAACAUCAAAAAGAUGAAACUCCAGCCAGUACCUUGGUUUAUAGGGAAAAUUAUCCAGAUCUACGAAAUGAUGCUGGUGAGACAUGGCUAUAUGAUUGUGGGAGACCCCAUGGGUGGCAAGACCUCUGCUUAUAAAGUGUUGGCUGCAGCUCUUGGCGAUUUACACGCAGCCAAUCAGAUGGAGGAGUUUGCUGUGGAGUACAAGAUCAUCAACCCCAAGGCUAUCACGAUGGGGCAGCUGUAUGGAUGCUUUGACCAAGUGAGCCACGAGUGGACGGAUGGUGUCCUUGCCAAUGCUUUCCGGGAGCAAGCGUCUUCACUCUCUGAUGAUCGCAAGUGGAUUAUAUUUGAUGGGCCAGUGGAUGCUGUUUGGAUUGAAAAUAUGAACACUGUUCUGGAUGACAAUAAAAAGCUGUGUCUCAUGAGUGGGGAAAUUAUCCAGAUGAACUCCAAGAUGAGCCUGAUCUUUGAGCCAGCCGACCUCGAGCAAGCCUCUCCAGCCACUGUGAGCAGGUGUGGGAUGAUCUACAUGGAGCCCCAUCAACUAGGCUGGAAGCCCCUGAAGGAUUCCUACAUGGACACCCUGCCCUCCAGUCUCACCAAGGAGCACAGGGAAUUGAUGAAAUCAGGGCAGUAGAAGAGGAGGAAAUGGAAUUAGGUGAAGGCCUGUCAAGUCAGCAAAUCUUUCUCUGGCUCCAAGGACUGUUUCUCUUUUCCUUGGUGUGGACCGUGGCUGGCACCAUCAAUGCAGACAGCAGAAAGAAAUUUGAUGUGUUUUUCCGCAACCUGAUCAUGGGCAUGGAUGAUAACCACCCAAGGCCCAAAAGCGUCAAACUCACCAAAAACAACAUCUUUCCAGAAAGAGGUAAUUUAGAACCUGUUUGUUAUGUUCUAGUUUAAUAGUUGGAAUUACAUGUUCUAAACACAACCAGAAUGUGCAGACAGGUGAGCCCUUUACAAAAGCCACGGAAGGCCAGGCAUGGUGGCUAAUAAAUAUGUAAGGAAUGACAGAAUUAAAAUAUCAUCAUUGGCUGGUUGUGGUGUCUCACACUGGUAAUUCCAGCACUUUGGGAGGCUGAGGUGGGCAGAUCACUUGAGGUCAGCAGUUCAAGACUAGCCUGGCCAACAUGGUGAAACCCCGUCUCUAUUAAAAAUACAAACAAAAUUAGCCAGGCGUGGUGGCAUGCACCUGUAAACCCAGCUAUUCACGAGGCUGAGGCAAGAAGAUUGCUUGAGUCCGGGAGGUAGAGGUUGCAGUGAGCUGAGAUCAUGCCACUGUCCUCCAGCCUGAGCAACAGAGCUAGACUGUGUCUCAAAAAAAAAAAAAAAAAAAAAAAAAAAAAUAGA
rnacentral:sRNA from 1 species